ensembl:lncRNA
UAUACUGUAGAAGGCUCUUUAGACCUCUAAUUUCUGUUUCUGCUUUAUUUGGGUCCAUCUCUGGAAAUGUAGCCCCUCAGUUUAUCCUAGCGUGGAAGUACCCCAAAGGCAGUGUAAUUCUUCAGAGCGUUUUGGUUCUUAUAACUUGGCAUUUUCUGAUAUUUUCAUUGGAAAACUCCCUACGAGCUCAAGCUGCAAGCAUUUCUGGUGGGUGCGCUCUUCCUUCUAGCGAUUAGCAGGUGUAGUGCAGUCUACCUGUAACAUCUGGAUAGGUUGCAUUCUUUACUCAGGUGGUACAAGGAGAGUUUCGGGUACAUAGUCCCUGUGGCUGUCUCCAAUCAAGGAUGCCAAUCUGUUGUUUAGGAUUCCUGCUGGGAAACAUUUGUCCUAGCUGAUGCCAGAAUUUCCUCUAAAGGCAAUAAGAGGAAGGAAAUGAUGAAAUGAUUUGGAAUGAUGGUGCUGGUGGAUCAAAACUAAGCUAAAUGAACCCUGAUCUGAAAUUCUAGAAAUCACAUCCAACCUUGGUAUUGCUGUAGUUCAGAAGUGGCUCCUUCCUGCGCUCCAGCAUAAGGCUGUCCCAAAUGGGUGCCCAUAACCCUCCUGGGGAAUGGGUCAGCAACUAUCUCCAUGCUGCAGCUUGGAAAGAACUGGAGAUUUAUUGUCACUGGGGAGAGAUCCAAGCUCCAAAUGCCAGCCUGAUAAAUGUGGAAUUGUUUAAAUGGCUGCUGCACUCAAGCCUUGAAUUUGCAUGCUGUAAACCUGUCCCCUCUUAGUCGUCUCUCUGGAGGAGACAUGCUGAGGUUUCUGGUCACCUCUCAUUGAAUUUCUUGUAUUUCUUGGGGAGAAGAGCCCAUCUGAGAGCCUGCCCUUGAUUUUUAUAAUGUCAUCACAACGUUUUUUUUUAAUUAAUCACACUCAUCAAUCUUAUCUUAGGGUCUGAUGUAGUUACUUUUCCUGCAGCAGUGAGGAAGGGAAGAGGUUUUGCUUUGCACUAUGAAAUGCUCAAAUAUUUGCCCUGGGCUAUGAAAACCAACCAAGGCUGCAGUAAAUCUCACAGUCUCAAAGUAUUUCCUCUAGUAUGUGUUACUUCCAUUCCCCCAGCUCCUGCUGGGGAAGCCCCUGGUUGUUUAACUUGCUUUGUUCCCUAUCAGCUCCUUCAGGGUCAUUUUCCAGUUUCUCUACAUGAGCCCUCUGUCCCAUGCAAGGUGUAACCUGCAAGAAAAAGAAACCCACACAGUGUUCAAGCCUUGUACAGAGGAAAGGAGGCUCCAGGCCUCUGAGACCAUCGUUGCACCACAGAGCCCAUUAAUCCGUCUCCAGACAAAUGAAACCUGCUUUUGUUUACUGGAAAGUAUGCUUUAUUUUCUCGUCACCGAGCAUCUGGUGUUUGUAAAAGGCACAACAAAUCUUUCCAACAGCAAAUCAUCCUGUCUGAGAACGCCUGGCCAGGAGCUCCAUGUGUGCUGUGAUCGUUAUCCUAAAAAGGUACUAAAAUGGCCAAACACAGAAAGUGCUGGCCAAGCUGGCUGCCCAUCAGUGGAAGACCACAAGAUACUGGACGUUCAUGUUACCUAUCAAAUGUAUGCUUAUUAAGGCCAUGAGUUAACAGAGGGCUUGAGUAAACCUUUGCCUGGAAGCUUUGUGCAUGAAGGAAGUAGUGGUAGGUGGCACCAGGAGUCUCCAGGGAUCCAUUGCUAUGCAUCUGCAUCUGAAACAAGAACAAAAAGUCACAGCAGGGGACAGGAUGCAUUCAGAAAAUAUCUAGAUGCAUUUCAGGCAAUUUGGAUAAGAUGGGCACCUGGCCCAGACUGAUGGAAGCAGCCAUUACAUCUCUGUACUCAGCCACCUUCUAUCAGUAUGAAAUUGGGAAGAGACUUAGUCACAAUGGGCAAGGUAGACCAGGACUGCCAUUAGCACUGAUUAAUGGCUUCAGGUGUCCCCUCAGAAAGCAGCAGGAUGAUGUACGAUCUGCACACAGCCCACUCCCAGUGGCACAGGAUUUCUAUAAGCUUUCCAAACAUACCAGGGUGAGGUGAUGCUUGCAGACACGACGUUUCCUCUGAUGGCAUCUUUCCACAAUCGUCUGAAAGCCACCAGGGGAAUGUGGAAGCUGGUUUCCAGCCAUAAUUCAUUUGGCCAACUCUGUACUUGCCUUUAAUUUUAAUAAUUUGGCGAUAUCCAUUUAUUUGACGUUUUGCAAAGAGGGAUCUGCAUUUGCUCAGAGAAAAUGAGAGUUGAAGGAUGGUAAAACGCCUUCAUAAAUUGCAAGUUAAAUUAAGAAGUUGCCUUAAAAGCACUGAGCUCUUAGCCCCGUGCAGUGUCAUUUAUGGCAUUUAGAACUGUGGUCCUGUUUGGAGGCCCAGAAUACUAAGGAGGCACAGGAAUUGGGGUCAGUUGUUCUGUGGCUGUUUCUGGCCUUUCCGAGCCCAUUUUUAUUAGUGGUUGGGAUAUAGUAAUGGGUUCAUAUGGCUUUUUCAUUUCUCACAGCACACGGUUUUUACCAACAAGUCUUAAUUUUCAAAAUUUUCAGCAUUUGAACACUUCAUGUCAAUACAAAAGCUGUUUCUGAAAAUUUUCUCUGUUAUUUGAUCCUAUCAAUAUUAUUCUACAGCGCUGUAGUGAAAAUAAGUUGUAUUGUGAUGCAAUAGUGUAAGCAUUUAUUUUUAUUAUUUCUAAAUGGCUACUGGCAUCUGCAGAGCGGGGUUUUGAUUGGGACAUACUGUUGUGGUUUUUUUUCAGAGCAUCACAAUUUUGGUGAAAUUGUAAUGAUUUGAGAUCACAGAAUCACAGUUGUUGGAAGGGACUUCAAGAGAUCAUCGAGUCCAACCCCCCUGCUAAAGCAUGUACCCUACAGUAGGUCACACAGGUAGGCACCCAGCCAGGUCAUGAGCAUCUCCAUAGAGGGAGACACUCUGGUCAGCCUGUUCCAGUGCUCCGUCACCCUUACUGUAAAGAAGUUCUUCCACAUGUUAGUAUGGAAAUUCCUGUGUUCAAGUUUUGGGCCAUUACUAAGUGUCCUAUCUUUGCACACCAUCGAGAAGAGCCUGGCCUCAUCCAUUUGCCUCCCACUUUCCUUUAGCUAUUUAUAAACAUGUAUCAGAUCCCCUCUCAGUCUUUUUAUGCCCAGAAAAAUAGAGUAUAUUGUUCUCACCACGUGAUGAAACACAGUAAAAAACAAAAAGGAAGCCAAACAUGAAAUAAAAUCAACCCCAACAAUUCUACUGACAAUACAAAGUGCUAUGUUUCACAAAAUUUAUAUUUUUGUGAAAAGGCUUUUCUUUCAAAUGACUUCCUUCCAUUCAUUUCCACUGAAAGAAAUAUAACGUGACGUCGAAUAGUAUUUUUUUUUUUAUUAUAAUGAGAACUGUCUGGAGGGGCUACAGUCUUUGUGACAUUGUAUAAUGCUUUGUGAAGACUUCCUCACAUCUCAGCACCACCCUAGCACUUAGACACUCACCUCCAGAUUCUUCUCGUUGAGCUGAAAAGGAAUUUUCCUUUAAAGUAAAUGUGUUGUAAGACCUUCUGUUGUUUAAGGGCAUCUGAGUCCUUACUUCAUCAAAGCGACCAUUAAAGCCUCCUAUAAAUACUACCUUGGAAAGCAGAAGUUUUCAAUUACCACAGCUCCUCUCCUGAUAUCAGUUCCUAUAAUGACCAGCCUCCAUUAGUGCAACUUUCUUAAAGCCAGAGCACCAAAGCAGAUUUCUGCUUCCCCAGAGCUGGUGGCUACCACCUGUCUGGAGGUGGGUCAUCUGCAUGUUCACAUGUGCUGGCUGCUCUUUCCCUCCCUUCUUCAGCAGUUAUGUGGAUUUCAUGGCACAGCACUGUGGCGUCCUGUCCAAG